GUACGGGGGAGCAAGCGUUGUUCGGAUUUACUGGGCGUAAAGGGCGCGUAGGCGGCCACCGCAAGUCGACUGUGAAAUCUCCGGGCUUAACCCGGAAAGGUCAGCCGAUACUGCGGGGCUAGAGUGCAGAAGGGGCAACUGGAAUUCUCGGUGUAGCGGUGAAAUGCGUAGAUAUCGAGAGGAACACCUGCGGCGAAGGCGGGUUGCUGGGCUGACACUGACGCUGAUGCGCGAAAGCUAGGGGAGCGAACGGGAUAGAUACCCGUA
rnacentral:rRNA from 1 species